UGCCGGGGUGGUGAAAUUGGUAGACACGCUUGAUUUAGGAUCAAGUGCCUUAUGGUGUGCAGGUUCGAGUCCUGUCCCCGGUAU
rnacentral:tRNA from 1 species